UACGUAGGGGGCUAGCGUUGCUCGGAAUCACUGGGCGUAAAGCGCACGUAGGCGGUUUGCUAAGUCAGGGGUGAAAUCCUGGAGCUCAACUCCAGAACUGCCUUUGAUACUGGUGAGCUUGAGUCCGGAAGAGGUGAGUGGAACUGCGAGUGUAGAGGUGAAAUUCGUAGAUAUUCGCAGGAACACCAGUGGCGAAGGCGGCUCACUGGUCCGGUACUGACGCUGAGGUGCGAAAGCGUGGGGAGCAAACAGG
rnacentral:rRNA from 1 species